UUACCUAGUGAUCGAAAGGAUUCAAAAUCAAUAAUUUUUAAUGGUUGAUUUCUGCCGUUUUCAAGUUUAACGGUGUAGAAGCAUUCAAAUCAGAUAAAACGAUGAUACAAAAUUCUUUAUACUAUCUAUAACAAGAUCAAUAUUUCUGAUAAAAAGUUUUAGUGCUAUAUCACCACUUUUUAUAGAAUUUUUUUUCAGCCGUUAAAAAUGAUUAAUUUUGAAUCCUUUUGAUUGCUAGGAAAAUGAUAUCGAAAAAUCGUAAAAAUUAUUUUCUAGAAACUUCAAAUAUGCUAGAUCAAAUCUAACGGAGCCGAUCGUUGAUUCGGAAAUUUCAUCAUCGAAAACGGCUCAAGAGCACCGAAGCCUCCGUACUCCUGAGAGCACAACAGUCCUGCUAUAUAU
rnacentral:lncRNA from 1 species